rnacentral:rRNA from 1 species
UAGGGAAUCUUCCGCAAUGGACGCAAGUCUGACGGAGCAACGCCGCGUGAGUGAAGAAGGAUUUCGGUUCGUAAAACUCUGUUGUUAGAGAAGAACAGCGCAUAGAGUAACUGUUAUGCGUGUGACGGUAUCUAACCAGAAAGCCACGGCUAACUAAGUGCCAGCAGCCGCGGUAAUACGUAGGUCCCGAGCGUUGUCCGGAUUUAUUGGGCGUAAAGCGAGCGCAGGCGGUUAGAUAAGUCUGAAGUUAAAGGCAGUGGCUCAACCAUUGUAGGCUUUGGAAACUGUUUAACUUGAGUGCAGAAGGGGAGAGUGGAAUUCCAUGUGUAGCGGUGAAAUGCGUAGAUAUAUGGAGGAACACCGGAGGCGAAAGCGGCUCUCUGGUCUGUAACUGACGCUGAGGCUCGAAAGCGUGGGGAGCGAACAGG